rnacentral:lncRNA from 1 species
CUCAACUCAGGAAGCCUUUCCAAUACUCUGGGUCUGGAUCAGAUGCUUUCUAAGUGUGCAGCAGUGCCCUCCUCUGCAGCCUGGCUUCCUGUGCUGACCUUCCCCUAUUAGAGGUCCUUUGCAGCCAGCAUGAUAACGUAUUUAUAACACGUGGAGGAGAGAGAGCUCACCAUGCUCAGGUGCCAGUCAUCGUGAAGAAAUUUUGAAUAACCUGCGUUUUCCACACCCUUUGUCUCUGCGGCGAAUCUGUGUAGAUAUCUGUGCAGUGAAUCCUGAGGGAGAAAGUCCCCCACUAUGAUACAGUCUGUUUGUAGGAAACCAGUGCUUUCUCUUUACUGAGAAUUCAAGCAUGGCACGUGUUGAAUGGCACAGAUGCCCUGACUGGGAUUGGCGUUGAAAUAAGCAGGGAUAGAUUCCAGGGGGAUUACAGCUGAAAGCUGUGGUGGAUCAGCUUUGCCCUUGUGAAUCGCCGUUGCCACAAUGAAACACAUAGCAACUGAUUUCACUGCACGGAACAGAUCUUACUUCUGCCUCUGGAGAGUGCCCACUGGAGACCUGUGUCUCAAAAGGCAGGUUACAGUGAAAUCAAAGCUUUCAAGAAGAAAACCGAGGUCUGUAAGCCAAAGCAGAAGGGAUGCAGGAGAAGAGAAAACAGGAAAUAACUGGUCAAUUGAUUAAUGAAGCUGUCCUAGUGACAGAAAUGGCCAGAGGAGUCUCUGACUUUCUUCCAAAGGCACCCUGACAUGUUUGCUGAGGACAACUCUUCAUUGUCAAAAGCUGAAAUUUUAAUGGGUGUUCUUAACAUAAGUCAUUCUCCAUGGACAGUGUGCUAUGUGCUGGCUGCUGUGGAAGGCUUCAUGCAUAUCAGGAAAGGGGAAACAUGGUUUGUGCACCAUCCUUUUGAGGCAAAGCAUUUAUCUGACACCUUUGAUCAAAAUAUUGUGGCUGGAGCUAUAUACUAUCCAACUUAACUCAAGUUUAUAAUUAGUAGUUUCAACUGUCAAAGAAUUGAAAAAAGAGAGUUAUUCUAUCACAAAGAAAGAUCCAUCACCUAGGGAUGUUUUUAAUAUUGUGUUUUGAAAGUAUGACAGAUCAGCAUUUUUAUGGUAGUGGAGCGUUUUCUGUGCUUUUUAGAGACCCAAAGUAAACACUUUUAAAUGUCAGAAAGCUCUAAAAUCCAAACAGGCUGUAGUCUCUUUAGAGAGCAGACCGGCUAGAUUUCACAAAUUGAAAGAUCCUGCCAUAAAAUUUAUUGUAAACAAGAAGCCUGGAAAAGGCAUGUAUGCAGUUCAAUAAAUAUCAAGCUCUGGAUUUCUAGCUUUUAAACUCAAAAGAUGUUUGAAGUUGCAUAAUCAUAGCCUAACUCAUGUUAUCAUGAUUUACAAUCUACUUAAUAAAUUCUGUUUCUCUUCCUUGCAGCUCUGAUUGUGGGAAGGGAGCAGAGUAGAUGUGUAGGUU